GCGAAACAGAUGAAAGAAGACGGCGAGAGGGAAGCACGAAGGCUCGCAGGCGGCACGGUCGAUCGAUCACGAGAAGAAGGCCGUCUCCGGGGGACGACGAGGCCGAAGAAUGAAGGGAGAAGCAGCAAGGCUGCUUUUGUUCUCGUCCGUCUGCGAGGUGCGAAGGAAAAACUGUCCGAUGGGAGUCCGGUAACGCGUCGCGAGCAGCAGCAGGGACGAAGACGAGAUCCUCGCAGGUCGUUGGUCGACAGGAAGAAGAAAGAGAGAGCGAGGGAGAAGAGGGGUUCGGUAGAACAAGGCACGCAGGUGGGGGCUUCGGUGGUGUUUGCUCGAUGAAAGAAGAAGAGAAGGAUGCGAAAUUGAGUUUCAGAUGGAGGGAAUCGAAAGGAGCAGCCUGGCUUAAGACGAAAUCUGCGAAGGAGUGGAAGUGAAGGUCGAUCUGAGUUAGAAAACAACGAAGGCUAAAGGUGGCGAUGGUGGGAGGCUGCCAUGAAGUCGAUGGAGGUUUUGCGCCGGCGGUUGCAGGUGAGUGGAUGGGGGCUGCUCCGGCAGCCUCCCUGUUGCUUCCGUUUUCUUUAUUGAUUAUUAUUUUUUUUUUCUUCUGUUUUGACUGAAAUCAGUGGAAUUUUUUGUGGGUUUUUGGGUUUGAUUUUUUACAGGAGGAAAAAGGAAGACAUCAGUGGGUUUUUUUUGGCUUUGUUGUGAUCGACAGGAAGGAGGGAAAAGAAAUGAGGCCGUUCUUAUUGUUUGCAGGUACUCACGAGAACAAGAACAAAAAGGUUCUUGACUGGAAACGAAGACGCAGGCAGAAAAUAAAGAAAAGAUAAAUCUUCAGUUUAAGAUUUCAAUUGUUGUUGGUUGUUUGUGGAUCAAACAUUUGUGAUCAGUUGUUGAUUUUUAACAAUGUGGGGGUUGUGUUUGAGUGGGGUAUUGGACUAUUGGUUGAAGGAAGAGUGGAAGAAAGCUUGAGAAAUGACAACACAUUUCUUU
rnacentral:lncRNA from 1 species